CCGAAUUGAUGCUCAAUUUUAUAUUUUAAAUGUUAUUCAAAUUGUGUCACAUUUCUCAGUGUAAUGGCUUGGAAUUGUCUGCAGAGCAGAGAAUCAACCAAAAAAAAUAUAAAAAAAAGAAAAGGGUUCCAACCACGCCCUUUUCGCCCACUUAACCCCCCCUUUAUGUGUUGCGGCUUGUUUUUUUGGAGUAAAAGAAACUCCCCUCGAAUCGUUGCUCAUUGCGCCUAACCCCCAUUUUAUUUAUUGACUCUCAUUUCUCCCCCGGGGGGUUGCUACACGUACUAUGUAUCCACUAUAUAGUAUUGGGAGUAUAGGGAGGAGAGGAGAUGCCAUAGAAAUGAGCGAUGCUCGGGCGAUUUACAAUGCGCUAAGUUAAUUAGCCGCAGCCAAACGACAACGACGACCACGACGACGACAAUAAGAACGAAGAGUUGGCCAUCGCAACUGACCCUCAAAGGUUGCCAAAGGCAAAGGCAAAGGGCCAGGCGUUUACUUUUGCGGAAAUUGCGUCAUUAACAGGCGCUUAGUAUAGUUUUUGUGUGAUGUAUAAAUACAAUAGGGAUAUAUAUGUAUGUGCAUAUAAAUACCCUUCAGUUCCAGAAUUCCUGGCCCGUCCGAUUCCUCGCGGUAUGUUCGAAAAACAAAAACAAAUUACAUGGGCCUCGUUCAGCGAAGUUCGAAACAAAAUAGCCGAAACAAAUUCUACCUACGCUCGGCUACUGCCGAGGGCUUCACGAAGUUCGAUCCUCAUAUUUGUUAUUGUUUUCGAUCUCUGUUCGAAGCAGCGGUUGCGAGAGUUCGUAAAUUAGAGAGAGAUGGAGAUGGAAGGAAGGGAGGAAAGAAAAUUGGUGUAAAAAACAAAGAGUAUUGCACCGACGGCAGAAUGACCUUUUUAAAAUAAGUAGGAAUAUUUAAAAAUAUUAAAGAUUAUAUUUAAUUAAUUUUUACGUAUAAAAUCAUGUGGUAUAUAAGCACUUAAGAAAAUGUGCUUUUGACUUGGCCGAAAUGUUCACGUUUGAUUAUCAGCCCUUUGUGAAUCUAAUUACAAGGCAUUGCCUUGUCGGCUAUACCCUGACACGCGAGAAUUUUCGGUCUUCGGUUUUGUCUUCUAAUUCUCUUUGCAUUUUGAGUUGACUGCUGUUGCAUUCAGAAGUGUUUUGCGUAUUAGUUGCGUAAAAAUGAAAUAUUAUAAGGUAAGUGGAACUUAUUUGCAUUCAAUUAUUAAUUUUAAUUGCAGAAUUGACGAUUAAAAUGGAUGCGACUUCAACCUAGACGGUGUGAAUGGGAUUUAGUACGGAUUUACGAAGUUUUUUUGUCCAGUUUAAGUUGAUAGAACAAGUUCCUUAAAGGACCCAGCAGCCGGCAGAGAAGGCUCCGUGACACGCAGUUACAUAAAUACAUAUAUGUAUGUACAUACAUAUGUUUAAUUAUGCAGAAAUAUGUAAUGCUACCAGAAAAAGUGAACAUAAAUAAAAAUUUACAAUCCAUAAAUAAA